GAUGAACGCUGGCGGCGUGCCUAAUACAUGCAAGUCGAGCGAACAGACGAGGAGCUUGCUCCUCUGACGUUAGCGGCGGACGGGUGAGUAACACGUGUAUAACCUACCUAUAAGACUGGGAUAACUUCGGGAAACCGGAGCUAAUACCGGAUAACAUGCUGAACCGCAUGGUUCAACAGUGAAAGACGGUCUUGCUGUCACUUAUAGAUGGAUCCGCGCCGCAUUAGCUAGUUGGUAAGGUAACGGCUUACCAAGGCAACGAUGCGUAGCCGACCUGAGAGUGUGCUCGGCCACACUGGAACUGAGACACGGUCCAGACUCCUACGGGAGGCAGCAGUCGGGAAUCUUCGGCAAUGGGCGAAAGCCUGACGGAGCAACGCCGCGUGAGUGAAGAAGGUCUUCGGAUCGUAAAACUCUGUUAUUGGGGAGGAACAAAUGUGUAAGUUACUGUGCACGUCCUGACGGUACCUAAUCAGAAAGCCACGGCUAACUACGUG
rnacentral:rRNA from 1 species